rnacentral:misc_RNA from 1 species
GUGAGUCAUCGAAUCUUUGAACGCAUCUUGCGCUCCUUGGUAUUCCAUGGAGCAUGCCUGUUUGAGUGUCACGUAAACCCUCACACCAGUGAUGUAAAAGUCUCUGGAGGUGGAAUUGGACUGUGCCGUAGUUGGCUCGUCCUGAAAUUCAUUAGCCUGCACUUGUUAGCGUGCUCGGCAUGGUGUGAUAAUUAUCUGCGCCGUCGCCUUAUGCCGCUUCUUAAUGUGCUGCUUCUAAUCGUCCCUUGUGGACAGACACUAUAAAGCUUUGGCCUCAAAUCAGGUAGGAUUACCCGCUGAACUUAAGCAUAUCAAUAAGCGGAGGA